GAGGCUGUCACUGGCUCGGCCAGCAUUUAUUGCUGCGUUUACCCAGUGGGCAGUUAAGAAUCAACCACGUUGCUAUAGGUCUGGAGUCCCAUGCAGACCAGACCAGAUACCAGUGAUCAGUGCCAAAGCCCCAUUGCCUGUGGAGAAGGUGAUGUUUGACGUCCUGUACAGCUGCAAUUCGUGUGGUGAAGGUGCUCCCACAAUGUGGUUGGGUCACCGUUCAGCCUCUGACGGUCCAGGGAAAACAGCCUAUCCAUCCCUGGCAACAUCCUGGACUUCUUUUCUGACCCUUUUCAAGUUUGAGAACAGCCAUCUGAUAGGAAGGAGACCAGAAUUGCAUGGAAUAUUACGAAGUCGCCGAAUCAAUGUCCUGUACAGCUGCAAUAUGACCUCCCAACCCCUACACUCAAUGCUCUGACCAAUAAAGGCAAGCAGACCAACUGCCGCCUUCACUAAUCUAUCUACUUGCUUCUCUACUUUCAAGGAACUGUGAACCUGCACUCCAAGGACUCUUUGUUUAGCAGCACUCUCCUGGAACUUACUAUAAACUGGUGCUUAAUGGUGAAGAUUUGCAGACUGAAAUCUCAAACUCAUGUGCAGAUCGUGAUUAAGUUAACCAGCAUUUGAAGAACCAAAGAUGGAGAAUAACUUGGGCAAAAUCCAGCAACACUCUCCUUCCCAACAUUGUCUGUCUCUCUGCGCCAAAUGGACUGUGAAUGGUUCAAGACAGCAGCUCACUACCAUCUUCUCAAGGGUAACUAGAGAUGGGGAAUAAAUGCUGGCUGAGCCAGUGAUGCCCAUAUCCUGGAAAUGGUUCCUAUCUCUAGUUGCUGAACCCCAGUUGAUGUUACUGCAGGAUGAUGAGGGAUGCUGAGUGCAUCCUCCAGGAGGCAGUACCAUCACAUUACCCCUGCCUACACCCACACAGUAACACCGCAACAUCACUGGAACAAAAGGCAGUGAAGCCAAAGGAGGACUUAGAUAUAGUUCUUCGAGGUAAAGUCAUGAAAGGGGUUUGGAACACAGCAGGAACAGGAGACUGAGCUGGAUGGUCAGCUGUUUCCCAUUGAAUGUGGAGCAGGAUUAAAAUGCUGAAUGGUCUCCUCCUGCUGCUAUCUCCCAGGUAUGUAUAUAGCCAUAGAGCCCGGGUAGGAAGAAGUAGGCAGGGCAGGGAUUCUCCAGGCGAAUGCACUUCCACAUCCGGGUUCAGCGGGAAGGGAUCAAAUCAAAGUAGAGUUGGGGGUGAGGAGGCAGCGAUGGAGAUAAAGCACUGUAUCCACUGUGGUGCCCAUCUCUAUCUAAAGACAACGGGACAAUUGAUAAAAGCUACGUGCUCCUUCUCCAAGGACACCCUUUUGCAUCACCUUUAUCCUCAAUCAUAGAAUAGAAUCCCGACAGUGUGGAAGGAGAGCAUUGGCCCAUCAAAUCCCACCAACUAUCCAAACAGCAUCCCAUCUGGAGCACUCCACCCCUGUAACACUGCAUUUCCCAUGGCAGAUCCACAGAGUCUGAACAAUCCUGGACACUGUGGACAAUUUAGAAUGACUGAUCCACCUAACCCACAAAUCUUUGGACUGUGGGAGGAAACCAGAGCACCUGGAGUGGACCCACACUAUCCUGGGGAGAAUGUGCAAACUCCACACAGGCUGUUGACCAAGGCUGGACUCCAACCUUGUACCUGGUGCUGUGGAGCAGCAGUGCUAUAGAGCAAUUUAAAUCAAAACAGAGACCCCUGCUCAUUGAUGUUUGUGAAGACUUAUUGCCCAGCGACAUCCUGAGAUUCAGAAAGAGACAAUAUGAAUUCAAUCAACUCCUGCCGAGUUAAUGUGAUUAACAACAACAUCAAUACUCCAACAGCGUCAUCAGACCUCGUACCUACUCUAUCAUUUACAAUUUUUAACCCAUGGGAAGUUUGUUACCAGCUUCGAUGACAGCCAUAAUGCUCUGACCACUUUGACAGAGCCAGUGCUCGUCAGUUCUCAUAGUUAUCAAUAGAUUGUAUCUAAACAGGAUGCCCCACAACAGGAAGUGCUCUGACACUCAAUGCCCGUAAGGCAAGGUCAUUUUCCUAAAACCACUCACGACUGGCAAUACCAUUGAAGAUAUUUUAUACAGUAACCUUUCUGUCUCAAUUGCCAGUUCCAGUCCAUGAAGCAGCCAGUAACAUGCCAGUGAAUUGAAUUCUAGUAGCAGCAUUGCCCUGGCAGGAGAGAUUGAGGAGCUUGAAGCUGUCUUCUCUGGAGUAUCUAAACAUGAAACACUUCAAAUGAACAAAAAUCUUCAAGAGCUCGAGAGAAUGUAUACAGGAAGGAUGUGCUCCUAGGCUGGUGUGCCUGGAAUGAAAUAAACACUAACUACGGUAUCUUUACCCAGCAUCCCCUUUAGCUGCAUAAAUGUUGAAGAUUUAUUUGCUGCUCUGAUUCCACUCUCUCCAUCACUCCCAUUUUUCACUGCUGUAAUGUUGAUGACUGUGCAAAUAUAUAAAAUUUAAUUUAAUCCA